rnacentral:rRNA from 1 species
GAUGAACGCUGGCGGCGUGCCUAAUACAUGCAAGUCGAGCGAAGCGGGGACGGGUGUGUAACACGUGGAUAACCUCCCAUUUCACUGGGAUACCUUCGGGAAACCGGACCUCAACCCGAUACUUAUACUUGGAUUGGCGCUGCAUUAUCUGGUUGGUUAGUUAACGGAUUACCAAGGGAACGAUGCAUACCCGACCUGAGAGGGGGAUCGGCCACACUGGAACUAGAACACGGUCCAGACUCCUACGGGAGGCAGCAGUAGGGAAUCUUCCGAAAGGGGCGAAAGCCUGACGGAGCAACGCCGCUUGAGUGAUAAAGGUCUUCGGAUGGUAAAACUCUGUUAUUAGGGAAGCGGUACCUAAUCAGAAAGCAACGGCUAACUACGUGCCAGCAGCCGCGGUAAUAC